CACUGCCGAGAAAAGCCUCUAGAUAGAAAAUAGGUGCCCGUACCGCAAACCGACACAGGUAGUCAAGAUGAGAAUUCUAAGGUGAGCGAGCGAACUCUCGUUAAGGAACUCGGCAAAAUGACCCCGUAACUUCGGGAGAAGGGGUGCUCUUUAGGGUUAACGCCCAGAAGAGCCGCAGUGAAUAGGCCCAAGCGACUGUUUAUCAAAAACACAGGUCUCUGCUAAACCGUAAGGUGAUGUAUAGGGGCUGACGCCUGCCCGGUGCUGGAAGGUUAAGAGGAGUGGUUAGCUUCUGCGAAGCUACGAAUCGAAGCCCCAGUAAACGGCGGCCGUAACUAUAACGGUCCUAAGGUAGCGAAAUUCCUUGUCGGGUAAGUUCCGACCCGCACGAAAGGCGUAACGAUUUGGGCACUGUCUCAACGAGAGACUCGGUGAAAUCAUAGUACCUGUGAAGAUGCAGGUUACCCGCGACAGGACGGAAAGACCCCGUGGAGCUUUACUGUAGCCUGAUAUUGAAAUUCGGCACAGCUUGUACAGGAUAGGUAGGAGCCUUUGAAACGUGAGCGCUAGCUUACGUGGAGGCGCUGGUGGGAUACUACCCUAGCUGUGUUGGCUUUCUAACCCGCACCACUUAUCGUGGUGGGAGACAGUGUCAGGCGGGCAGUUUGACUGGGGCGGUCGCCUCCUAAAAGGUAACGGAGGCGCUCAAAGGUUCCCUCAGAAUGGUUGGAAAUCAUUCAUAGAGUGUAAAGGCAUAAGGGAGCUUGACUGCGAGACCUACAAGUCGAGCAGGGUCGAAAGACGGACUUAGUGAUCCGGUGGUUCCGCAUGGAAGGGCCAUCGCUCAACGGAUAAAAGCUACCCCGGGGAUAACAGGCUUAUCUCCCCCAAGAGUUCACAUCGACGGGGAGGUUUGGCACCUCGAUGUCGGCUCAUCGCAUCCUGGGGCUGUAGUCGGUCCCAAGGGUUGGGCUGUUCGCCCAUUAAAGCGGUACGCGAGCUGGGUUCAGAACGUCGUGAGACAGUUCGGUCCCUAUCCGUCGUGGGCGUAGGAAAUUUGAGAGGAGCUGUCCUUAGUACGAGAGGACCGGGAUGGACAUACCUCUGGUGUACCAGUUGUCGUGCCAACGGCAUAGCUGGGUAGCUAUGUGUGGACGGGAUAAGUGCUGAAAGCAUCUAAGCAUGAAGCCCCCCUCAAGAUGAGAUUUCCCAACUUCGGUUAUAAGAUCCCUCAAAGAUGAUGAGGUUAAUAGGUUCGAGGUGGAAGCAUGGUGACAUGUGGAGCUGACGAAUACUAAUCGAUCGAAGACUUAAU
rnacentral:rRNA from 1 species